rnacentral:rRNA from 1 species
GUCCUUGCCGUAAACGAUGUAUACUUGAUGUAGUUAGGCUCAACCCUGGCUGUGUCGUAGCUAACGCGAUAAGUAUACCGCCUGAGGAGUACGCUAGCAAAGGGUGAAACUCAAAAGAAUUGACGGGGGCCCCGCACAAGCAGUGGAGCAUGUGGUUUAAUUCGAUGCAACGCGAAGAACCUUACCAGGCUCGAAAUGCAAAGGACAGCAUCAGAGAUGAUGUGUUCCGAAAGGACCUUUGUAUAGGUGCUGCAUGGCUGUCGU